ensembl:lncRNA
CCCGGCACGCGAAAGAUAAUGUUAUGGCGCAUGACCAGGACACUCGUCAUUGUACGCUUUUUCCGGUCCUUUUUUUGUCUAUGGCCCGGGAAACGUCAGUGAUGUUGAUUCAUACACGGAAAUUAAAACUGUUAGUAAUAAGCGAUGUGUUUUCUGUAUUUCUCAAAGGGGGAUGACGUGAUUAUGCUGAGGUGUUUGAACCUUCACAAGAUGGAGGACCAGUGACUACUUAAGUUCACGGCAUGUACCUGUUGAAGACAUACAACGAUUGGAACACGAGAAGAUUGAUUCCAGUGUCAUACACCUCAUGACAGAUGACCAGCUGAGAGAGUACCUGCCAUCCGAUGGUGCUCGUCUGGCUGUGUUUGGCUUCUGCAGACGGAGAGAAAAAGAACCGAGCAGUCGCAAGUCAAAGAUCUUUGAGCGACUGAGAGGAAAGCUCUCACAAAACAAAGAUGAGUAUGUAUUUCCGAGAAAGCAUCAAACCACUCCAAAGAAUGCUCAAAAAACUCAGAGAAAAAUUGAGAUAGGAUGGAUGAAUUUCCGCGAAGGGGGAUUUUUACAGAUGCGCGCCAAAAAAGGGAGGGGGAACCAGAAAAGAGAGUGUCCCAAAGAACAGUAAAAAACAGAACUUGAUUGAAAAGGCUACCCUGUUGUUUUUUUCCAGAUGGAGUAAAUUUAGAGGGGAGCUGUUCAGAUUUUGACAUAGAUUUAACUGACUUUCAGCAGCAUUCAUUGGAUGAUAGUAUCACUGUGGGGGAACUCUACGAAAAGACAAAGUUACCUCUCCUGCGUUUCUAUUUAACAACGAAGAAGAAAGACAUUGUCAAUGACAUCCAUCUUAAGGAAGAGAACGGUGAUGUCACUGAGCAAAAAGGGGAAGAGACAAAUGACAGAUCUGAUCCCUACCGUCCUUCUCCAAAUACUCCUGGAACAGACAAUGUGGAGAUACAUGUUUCUGAUGUAAUUUAUGUUGGAAGCAGCACAGAAUUUGCAAAUGCAAGUGAUGAAAGUAUGUCCCUUCUUUACACCACAGUCAACCAUACCGAUGCACCUACCUUGCCAGAGCAUAACACAUUACAUCAUGUGGAUGCUUUAGAGGAUAGUGGCAUAGUAACUUUCCACACAGAAACCAUGGAUAGGAUGGAGUACUCUUCUCUUGAUGACACCGUGGCUCUCUCUCAGGACAUAUAAUUUGCAUCAGCUUUGCUUCCUCCCAUGGAUGUUUUGCAGGACCAAGCCAGUCAGGGAGAAAGAGUGAAGAAAGUUAUUGUUCUUCAUCGUGGACAGAUUCUCAGAGAACUUAUUCUAGUGUUUUCUGAGGAAAGUAUCAUGGAAGAUAACAUUUGCUUUCAAGUUAUUCUUCCUGAUGGAAAGCUUGAAAAGGCUUUCGAUGAUGGUGGUGUUUUGAGGGAUGUACUGUCAGAAUUUUGGAAUGACUUUUAUGAGGAGUGCACCAUGGGAAAUGGCUUCAAAGUGCCAUACCUACGCCAUGAUUUUGGUACACAAGAAUGGGAAAGUGUUGGACGAAUAAUCGCAUUUGGCUGGCAAAGAGAGUACCUCCCUGUGAAACUCGCACCUGUUCUUCUGGAGAAAGCUGUUUUCGGCUUUGUGGAGAGCGAUCUUGUGGAAUGCUUUUUCAAGUACGGGUCAGAGUCGGAGCAGGCAAUCUUUGAAUCUUGUCGUUCUGAUUUUGAAGGUGUCGACUUCGAAGAAUUGUUGGAAAUCCUGGAUAUGCACAACUGCCGGGGGGUUCCAACAGCACAGAGCAUGGAGCAAAUCUUGAAGGAGCUUGCUCACCAAAAACUGGUUCAAGAGCCUGCUUUUGUGAUUGAACAGUGGAGCAACAUGCUUGUACCUGUUAGAUCAGAGCUGAAAGGGAUUGCAGCAGUCUAUGAGACUAGAGAGAGCUACACCCAACAUCACGAAAGAUCACCAGAUCAAUCACUUACCCCAUCACCCAGAAUGCCCAGGAAAAACAAGUAGUCAAGUAUGUAAGCGCAUACCUGAGUGUCAGACACCCAGCAUCUCUCCCGUUUCCUUAGAUUUUGCACUGGGUCCGACUUGUUCACAGGAAAGAAAAUCACGGUCAGCUUCACACAACUCCAGGGAUUUCAGAGAAGACCUGUUGCCCACACAUGUGGCUGUUACUUGGAGUUGCCAGUCAGCUAUGACAACUACCCGGAUUUUCGACAUGAAAUGAACAACGUUUUAGAAAGCAAAGUGUGGGUAAUGGAC